rnacentral:rRNA from 1 species
CCUACGGGAGGCAGCAGCAGGGAAUAUUGCACAAUGGGCGAAAGCCUGAUGCAGCGACACCGCGUGCGGGAUGAAGGCCCUCGGGUUGUAAACCGCUUUCAGGAGGGACGAAAAUGACGGUACCUCCAGAAGAAGGCCCGGCCAACUACGUGCCAGCAGCCGCGGUAAUACGUAGGGGCCAAACGUUGUCCGGAUUUAUUGGGCGUAAAGGGCUCGUAGGCGGUUCAACAAGUCGAUCGUGAAAGCCCGGGGCUCAACCCCGGGACGCCGGUCGAAACUGUUGUGACUAGGGUCCGGUAGAGGUGAGUGGAAUUCUCGGUGUAGCGGUGGAAUGCGCAGAUAUCGAGAGGAACACCAGUUGCGAAGGCGGCUCACUGGGCCGGUACCGACGCUAAGGAGCGAAAGCGUGGGGAGCAAACAGGAUUAGAUACCCUGGUAGUCCACGCCGUAAACUGUGAACACUAGGUGUGGCGGAUCAUUGAUGUCUGCCGUACCGUAGCUAACGCGUUAAGUGUUCCGCCUGGGGAGUACGGCCGCAAGGCUAAAACUCAAAGGAAUUGACGGG